AAUUUUUAAACCGUGGACAUUGUCUCCAGCUUUUAGUAAGUCAUACAGCCUCUCUUGGGGCUGAGGUUGUCAUGUAUGACAUGGAAACCAUUGUAUUUUCUUCCUUCAGCUCUUUGUUGCCCAAUCCCCUGCCUGUUUAUACUAGCUAUUAUAUGUUUGUACAGUACUUAACACAAUGAGAUCCUGUUCUUGUUUGAGACCUCAGAGAACUCUGUAACACAAAGGUCGGGUUAAUGAGAGAGAUAACAAACCUCUCAGGAAAAAAAAAAAAGAAAAGAAUUCGUGUCAUUUUUGUUGGAAUUCUGAUAAUGACCAACUCCAAGAGACUGAGCCCCAGGUGACUCAUAGAGGAAGGAAAACACGCAGCAACUUUUUCACAGUUGGCCUACAAACGCUUCCUAAAGAUGAAAAAUCCCCUGCGUCCUCAAAAUGGAAGAGAUCUUUUGGGGGCUAUUUGAUAUUUUGCUAAUGCUUCUGAGAUGGAUGACACCGGAUAAGUGUUCUCAUCUCAGGACACAGUGCCUGGUGUUGCACCCAGAUUGGAUUAAAUGGUGCAAUGGAUGGGCGAACAGGAGAGGAACUCAACCUGUCUCUGAAAACAGUUUUGUGCAUGCCUUGGUGCUGACACCUCUUCUGCUCAGAUAUCAUCGAUAACAGAUUUACUGAUAGAGAAUGGAAACCUUGAGAAGAUAUCCCGACCACAAGCUAAUGAAUUCAGGAGGAUCCUGUGGCAAGGGCUGCCAGCUGCCCUACCGGCUGAUUGCAUUGGCUGAUGGAGUAAUUGUUGCAUGGAGAUAGUUUUAUGAUUGCUUUGAGAGUUUGAAUGAGAUCAUGCAUGAGUUAGCACACUGAGUGCAAUAAAAAUGAUUUUAUUUGCA
rnacentral:lncRNA from 1 species